GGAUUAGAUACCCUGGUAGUCCACGCCGUAAACGAUGUCUACUAGCCGUUGGGGUACUUGAGACCUUAGUGGCGCAGCUAACGCACUAAGUAGACCGCCUGGGGAGUACGGCCGCAAGGUUAAAACUCAAAUGAAUUGACGGGGGCCCGCACAAGCGGUGGAGCAUGUGGUUUAAUUCGAUGCAACGCGAAGAACCUUACCAGGUCUUGACAUCCUCGGAAGUAACCAGAGAUGGUUUCGUGCCUUCGGGAGCCGAGUGACAGGUGCUGCAUGGCUGUCGUCAGCUCGUGCCG
rnacentral:rRNA from 1 species